rnacentral:rRNA from 1 species
AUUGAACGCUGGCGGCAGGCCUAAUACAUGCAAGUCGAACGAGUGGCGGACGGGUGAGUAAUGUCUGGGAAAUAGCCCGAUGGAGGGGGAUAAAUCCUGAAAACGGUAGCUAAUACCGCCUACCAUCGGAUGUGCUCAGAUGGGAUUAGCUAGUAGGUGGGGUAACGGGUCACCUAGGCGACGAUCCCUAGCUGGUCUGAGAGGAUGACCAGCAACACUGGAACUGAGACACGGUCCAGACUCCUACGGGAGGCAGCAGUGGGGAAUAUUGCACAAUGGGCGCAAGCCUGAGGCAGCCAUGCCGCGUGUAUGAAGAAGGCCUUCGGGUUGUAAAGUACUUUCAGCAAGGAGGCGUUACUCGCAGAAGAAGCACCGGCUAACUACGUGCCAGCAGCCGCGGUAAUAC